CAGUAGCCGCGGUAAUACAGAGGGUGCGAGCGUUAAUCGGAUUUACUGGGCGUAAAGCGUGCGUAGGCGGCUAAUUGAGUCGGAUGUGAAAUCCCCGAGCUUAACUUGGGAAUUGCAUUCGAUACUGGUUAGCUAGAGUGUGGGAGAGGAUGGUAGAAUUCCAGGUGUAGCGGUGAAAUGCGUAGAGAUCUGGAGGAAUACCGAUGGCGAAGGCAGCCAUCUGGCCUAACACUGACGCUGAGGUACGAAAGCAUGGGGAGCAAACAGGAUUAGAUACCCGUGUAGUCCCUGUCUCUUAUAA
rnacentral:rRNA from 1 species